UUGGAGGGCAAGUCUGGUGCCUGCAGCCGCGGUAAUUCCAGCUCCAAUAGCGUAUAUUAAAGUUGUUGCGUUAAACGCUCGUAGUUGAAUCUGAUGGGGUCUUUGGCCGGCGCCUGGUCUUCGUACUGGGUCUUGCCGUGCUGAGCCCUAUUAUAUUGUACUGCUGCCCCUCGCGUGUCGUUCACUCGGCAGUGGGGUGCUGUGGCAGUGCCUUUUACCUUGAAGAAAUUAGAGUGUUCAAAGCGGGCGAGUUUUG
rnacentral:rRNA from 1 species